rnacentral:rRNA from 1 species
AAACUUAAGAGUUUGAUUCUGGCUCAGAACGAACGCUGGCGGCAGGCCUCAUACAUGCAAGUCGAACGCCCCUUCGGGGGAGUGGCAGACGGGUGAGUAACACGUGGGAACCUACCCAGAGGUUCGGAAUAACUCAGGGAAACUUGAGCUAAUACCGGAUAAGCCUUGCGAGGGAAAGAUUUAUCGC